AGUGAACGCUGGCGGUAGGCCUAACACAUGCAAGUCGAACGGCAGCACAGUAAGAGCUUGCUCUUACGGGUGGCGAGUGGCGGACGGGUGAGGAAUACAUCGGAAUCUACUUUUUCGUGGGGGAUAACGUAGGGAAACUUACGCUAAUACCGCAUACGACCUACGGGUGAAAGCAGGGGAUCUUCGGACCUUGCGCGAUUGAAUGAGCCGAUGUCGGAUUAGCUAGUUGGCGGGGUAAAGGCCCACCAAGGCGACGAUCCGUAGCUGGUCUGAGAGGAUGAUCAGCCACACUGGGACUGAGACACAGUCCAGACUCCUACGGGAGGCAGCAGUGGGGAAUAUUGGACAAUGGGCGCAAGCCUGAUCCAGCCAUACCGCGUGGGUGAAGAAGGCCUUCGGGUUGUAAAGCCCUUUUGUUGGGAAAGAAAAGCAGCAGGUUAAUACCCCGCUGUUCUGACGGUACCCAAAGAAUAAGCACCGGCUAACUUCGUG
rnacentral:rRNA from 1 species